UCCCAAUUAUUACAACCACAAUAUCCUCUCGUCUUUCUUUAUUUCUUUCUUUCUCUACCAUAAAAAUCAUGUCUUGCAUGAACAAUCUUCACAUCCAAUCGAGCAUUUCCCCAAUUGGGAAAAACCCAAAUUUGGGAAAUGAUAGAUUAAUCAAAUUUAAAAAUGUUAACUAUGAGGGUUCUGCUAUGGGGAGCCGUUCAGUGGCAACUUCUCCUGCAGAUUCAUCGAAUUUUAAUGCAUCAAGAAAACGAAAUUCCGGCGACCUUAAACUGAUCGACGAGGUGUCGACCACCGGAAAAUUCGGCAGGUUCGGCGGCGUGUUCGUGCCGGAGACACUCAUCACUUGCUUGAGGAAGCUCGCCGCCGAAUUCAAUCUCAUUCUCCACGAUCAUCAAUUUCAGAGCGAGCUCGCGGCGGCGCUGAGGGACUAUGUCGGCCGGGAGACGCCGCUGUACUACGCGGAAAGGCUGUCGGAGCACUACCGGAACGGCGCCGGCGAGGGGCCUGAGAUUUACCUGAAGCGGGAAGAUCUCAACCACGGCGGCGCACACAAGAUCAACAACGCGCUGGGGCAGGCGAUGAUCGCGAAACGGAUGGGCCGGCGGCGGGUCGUGGCGGCGACCGGCGCCGGGCAGCACGGCGUCGCGACGGCGGCGGUGUGCGCGAAGCUCGGCCUGGAGUGCACGGUGUUCAUGGGCGACGCCGACAUGCUCCGGCAGUCGUUCAACGUCACUCUGAUGAAACAUCUCGGCGCCGAAUUAAAAUCCGUCGGAGGAACGUUCAAAGACGCGACGUCGGAGGCGAUCCGGAGCUGGGUCGGCGAUUUGGACGGCGGCUACUACCUGACCGGCACGGCGGUGGGGCCGCACCCGCUGCCGAGCAUGGUCCGGGAGUUCCAGUCCGUGAUCGGAAAGGAGACGCGCCGCCAGGCGGCGGAGAAAUGGGGCGGCCCGCCGGACGUGGUGGUGGCCUGCGUCGGAAGUGGGUCGAACGCCCUCGGAAUAUUCCACGAAUUUUUAACCGACGAGAAUGUCCGCCUCGUCGGCGUGGAGGCCGCCGGAACCGGAAUCGACGGCGGCCGGCAUUCGGCGACUCUGGCGAAAGGGGAAGUCGGCGUUUACCACGGCGCCAUGAGCUUUCUGUUACAGGACAACGAAGGACAGAUCGUCGUCCCGCAUUCGAUCGGCGUCGGGCUGGAGUAUCCAGGGGUAAGCCCUGAGCUGAGUUUUCUGAAGGAAAUUGGGAGAGCUGAGUUUCAUACAGUCACUGAUGAAGAAGCCCUCCAAGCGUAUGGGCGUUUGUGCAGACUGGAAGGGAUAAUUCCGGCGCUGGAGGCGGCGCAUGCGGUGGCGCAUCUGGACAGGCUUUGUCCGACGUUGCCCGGCGGCGCAAAGGUGGUGGUGAAUUGCAGCGGACGUGGCGACAAGGAUGCCGCCGCCGUCAUCGAAUUAUUAUCAUCGACAACACUUAAUUCAGAAAAGGGCAAAAAAUUUGGAUCCAACAGUUACCAGGAAUUGAACCCGACGUGAAUCGAACACGCAACCUUCUGAUCUGGAGUCAGACGCGCUACCAUUGCGCCACGGAUCCGAGUGAUGUUUCCGAGAGUUUGCCGGAGCAGAUACCUGAAGAACUAAUCAAAUUCUAUUGUUCAUCCACUGGCGGAGCAGCAAAUCGGACGUUUGCAGGCCUGGCUGCAACAACUGGCUCAUCAGCAAAUAAUGAUCGAAUGAAUGCCGGGGUUUUCAGGGGUCUCCGACCAGUCAUUCGUGGGUAUACAUCUUCAAGAAAAUAGUAGGCGUGGCCGGCUAUCAUUCCCUGAACCAGAUUGAAAAUUUUUAUGGUAAAUAAUCACAGACUAACAAUUCAAACCAAUGCAGGGGUAAGAAGAGCCAUUGUAUAAAUCAUAAUACAUUUUUUUCGUCAAUCAGGCCGUGGAUUUCUACUCACAACCAGUUCGUGUAUAACCAAGAUCGAUAUUUUUUCAUUUGUAUCAAUGCUUGGAAUAUGGCAUCCAGAGCAAUGUGCACAAACUAAGAAUUUAACAAUUUAACAUACCAGAAGGUCAACCCAUGCGCUAGCACCGACAAGUACGGAAAAACCAAGAAGAACCUGCAGAGACAUCGCACAGGUUACAAGAACUUAAGGGAAACUAAAACACAUGUUUCUGAGGAGAAAAUAACAUCAGGGAAAAGAUGUUGGACGUAAAAGUCACUCACCCAUGGCAAAUAUCCAGCUGUGAAAGUAAACAGACCCAAAAAGCUCAUGUGGAUGAAUGGGUUCUGCUUGCUCCACACAUAAACCUGUAAUGCAAUCGAAAAACAUGUGAAGGAGAGGAAGUAAAACAGUAUACGGAGAUACGUUCAAAUGAUUUCACAAGUGAGACCACUACACAUAAACCAACCAUCAUAAACGUGAGUGAAUUGCUGAGGAAUAUAAUCUUUGCAAACGACUCAGAUACAUAAGGAAUCAUCCCUCCAACAAGUACAAUGCCGGUCAAAACGGUAGCGCCAAACAACAGCAUAUAGAAGAAAUCUGCAGUCCUCCCACGAAAAGUAUUCUCUUCAAGAAGCUUGCAAUAACGAGCAAGAAAGAACAUGUGAAACAAGAAAUCCAAGUCUGUAAAAGAAACAGGUGGAAGGUGUGUUACAUAAAGGAUUAAUCCUUCUCUGGACAAACUACACGUUUCUCAUUUUCGUUCAUUUGUAUGUCUAAAUCCUAUAUAUGAAUGAUGGAUCUGAUAGUAUAUCAAACUAAUGAU